CAUCAGGCAGCUGGUUCCACAACCAUCAAAUCUCACAGAACUGGACAGUGCUAUUCAUCCGGCGUGGUGUCAGAUACCUCUCAUCACCUUUCAACGUCUCUUGGAGUCAAUGCCAAGAAGAAUCACUGCAUUAUUGAAGACAAAAGGCAGCCAAACGAGGUACUGAU